GACGAACGCUGGCGGCGUGCCUAAUACAUGCAAGUUGAGCGCUGAAGGUUGGUACUUGUACCAACUGGAUGAGCAGCGAACGGGUGAGUAACGCGUGGGGAAUCUGCCUUUGAGCGGGGGACAACAUUUGGAAACGAAUGCUAAUACCGCAUAAAAACUUUAAACACAAGUUUUAAGUUUGAAAGAUGCAAUUGCAUCACUCAAAGAUGAUCCCGCGUUGUAUUAGCUAGUUGGUGAGGUAAAGGCUCACCAAGGCGAUGAUACAUAGCCGACCUGAGAGGGUGAUCGGCCACAUUGGGACUGAGACACGGCCCAAACGCCUACGGGAGGCAGCAGUAGGGAAUCUUCGGCAAUGGACGAAAGUCUGACCGAGCAAGGCCGCGUGAGUGAAGAAGGUUUUCGGAUCGUAAAACUCUGUUGGUAGAGAAGAACGUUGGUGAGAGUGGAAAGCUCAUCAAGUGACGGUAACUACCCAGAAAGGGACGGCUAACUACGUG
rnacentral:rRNA from 1 species